rnacentral:rRNA from 1 species
AGAGUUUGAUCAUGGCUCAGAUUGAACGCUGGCGGCAGGCUUAACACAUGCAAGUCGAGCGGUAACAGAAAUAGCUUGCUAUUUGCUGACGAGCGGCGGACGGGUGAGUAAUGCUUGGGAAUAUGCCUUAUGGUGGGGGACAACAGUUGGAAACGACUGCUAAUACCGCAUAACGUCUACGGACCAAAGGGGGGGAUCUUCGGACCUCUCGCCAUUUGAUUAGCCCAAGUGAGAUUAGCUAGUUGGUAAGGUAAUGGCUUACCAAGGCGACGAUCUCUAGCUGGUUUGAGAGGAUGAUCAGCCACACUGGGACUGAGACACGGCCCAGACUCCUACGGGAGGCAGCAGUGGGGAAUAUUGCACAAUGGGGGGAACCCUGAUGCAGCCAUGCCGCGUGUGUGAAGAAGGCCUUCGGGUUGUAAAGCACUUUCAGUUGUGAGGAAAGGUGUGUAGUUAAUAGCUACAUACCGUGACGUUAGCAACAGAAGAAGCACCGGCUAACUUCGUGCCAGCAGCCGCGGUAAUACGAGGGGUGCAAGCGCUAAUCGGAAUUACUGGGCGUAAAGCGUUCGUAGGCGGUUGAAUAAGCAAGAUGUGAAAGCCCAGGGCUCAACCUCGGAACUGCAUUUGAAACUGGUGAACUAGAGUGCUGUAGAGGGGGGUAGAAUUUCA